CCUACGGGAUGCAGCAGUGGGGGAUAUUGGACAAUGGGGGAAACCCUGAUGCAGCGACGCCGCGUGUGGGAAGACGGUCCUCUGGAUUGUAAACCACUGUCCCCAGGGACGAAUAAGACGGUACCUGGGGAGGAAGCUCCGGCUAACUACGUGCAAGCAGCCGCGGUAAAACGUAGGGAGCGAGCGUUGUCCGGAAUUACUGGGGGUAAAGGGAGCGUAGGCGGGACAGAAAGUUGGGUGUCAAAUCUACCGGCGAAACCGGUAGCCGCACUUGAAACUGCAGCUCUUGAGUGAAGUAGAGGCAGGCGGAAUUCCUAGUGUAGCGGUGAAAUGCGUAGAUAUUAGGGGGAACACCAGUGGCGAAGGCGGCCUGCUGGGCUUUUACUGACGCUGAGGCUCGAAAGUGUGGGGAGCAAACAGGAUUAGAUACCCUGGUAGUC
rnacentral:rRNA from 1 species